GACGAACGCUGGCGGCGUGCUUAACACAUGCAAGUCGAACGGAAAGGCCUGCUUUCCCUUGUGGAUUGCGGGUACUCGAGUGGCGAACGGGUGAGUAACACGUGAGUGAUCUGCCCCCAACUUGGGUAUAAGCCUGGGAAACUGGGUCUAAUUCCCGAUAGGACUGCAGGGUGGUGCCUGUGGUGGAAAGCGAUUUUCUAGUGGUUGGGGAUGAGCUCGCGGCCUAUCAGCUUGUUGGUGGGGUAAUGGCCUACCAAGGCGGCGACGGGUAGCCGGCCUGAGAGGGUGGACGGCCACAUUGGGACUGAGAUACGGCCCAGACUCCUACGGGAGGCAGCAGUGGGGAAUAUUACACAAUGGGCGGAAGCCUGAUGCAGCGACGCCGCGUGGGGGAUGACGGCCUUCGGGUUGUAAACUCCUUUCGACCGCGAGGAAGCCACCUGGUUGGAAGGGUGGUGACGGUAGUGGUAGAAGAAGCACCGGCUAACUACGUG
rnacentral:rRNA from 1 species